UGAGUAGCACAGAUGAUCGCGCCUAUAAGUGUCGAAAGACCAUAGGUGAGGAAAGUCCGAGCUUCAUAGGGCAGGGUGCCGGAUAACGUCCGGUGGAGGCGACUCUAAGGAUAGUGCAAUAGAAAUAUACCGCCGGCUUUUUGCCGGUAAGGGUGGAAUGGUGGGGUAAGAGCCCACCGCCUGGUUGGUAACAAACAGGGCACAUGUAAACCCCACUCGAAGCAAGACCGAAUGUAAAGCGAUACGGCGGCCCGUCGUGCUUUAGGGUAGGUCGCGGUUUGUAAAUCGUAUAUACGAUUGAGAACGAGCCAUGUGGUAACACCUGGCAAAGAUAGAUGAUCAUUUAAUACAGAACUCGGCUUAUAGUGCUGCUCAUUUA
rnacentral:RNase_P_RNA from 1 species